AGAGUUUGAUCAUGGCUCAGAUUGAACGCUGGCGGCAGGCUUAACACAUGCAAGUCGAGCGGGGAAGGGUAGCUUGCUACCUGACCUAGCGGCGGACGGGUGAGUAAUGCUUAGGAAUCUGCCUAUUAGUGGGGGACAACAUUCCGAAAGGAAUGCUAAUACCGCAUACGCCCUACGGGGGAAAGCAGGGGAUCUUCGGACCUUGCGCUAAUAGAUGAGCCUAAGUCAGAUUAGCUAGUUGGUGGGGUAAAGGCCUACCAAGGCGACGAUCUGUAGCGGGUCUGAGAGGAUGAUCCGCCACACUGGGACUGAGACACGGCCCAGACUCCUACGGGAGGCAGCAGUGGGGAAUAUUGGACAAUGGGCGAAAGCCUGAUCCAGCCAUGCCGCGUGUGUGAAGAAGGCCUUUUGGUUGUAAAGCACUUUAAGCGAGGAGGAGGCUACUGAGAUUAAUACUCUUGGAUAGUGGACGUUACUCGCAGAAUAAGCACCGGCUAACUCUGUGCCAGCAGCCGCGGUAAUACAGAGGGUGCGAGCGUUAAUCGGAUUUACUGGGCGUAAAGCGUGCGUAGGCGGCUUUUUAAGUCGGAUGUGAAAUCCCUGAGCUUAACUUAGGAAUUGCAUUCGAUACUGGGAAGCUAGAGUAUGGGAGAGGAUGGUAGAAUUCCAGGUGUAGCGGUGAAAUGCGUAGAGAUCUGGAGGAAUACCGAUGGCGAAGGCAGCCAUCUGGCCUAAUACUGACGCUGAGGUACGAAAGCAUGGGGAGCAAACAGGAUUAGAUACCCUGGUAGUCCAUGCCGUAAACGAUGUCUACUAGCCGUUGGGGCCUUUGAGGCUUUAGUGGCGCAGCU
rnacentral:rRNA from 1 species